UGCUAGGCUACUGCUCUAGGUCAUGUAUCUCGGCAGUGAACAGGGCGGAGCCAGAGCGGUGUCCGGGUGGACACCUCUGACAUCUGAUUGGACACCCCGGGUGUCACCCCAAAAUGUCAUUCGCUACUGGCAGUUUGAUGCUGAUUGACAUCUCAUUUCACCUCUUGUUGAGGUGAAUUUAUUUUGACGUUUUCAAACCGAGGACGAGGAAGAGAGAAUAUUAACGUUGGCUGUGAGAUACAGAAGAAUAAGAAGAACAUACAGAAGAAGAAGAGAGAAUAUUUCCACAGCUCCACGAACUCUUUUACCGAUUGGCGUAAGCAUCAUAUUUGAAAUGUAUCAAGGGACGACACAGAGACAUCUGGCUCUGAGCAAGACAGUGAGCCAGAGCUGCUGGGAGAUGUCAUCGAGCCCCUCCCAACUUCAUCAAGCACCAGAUAUGCUGUUCCAAAAGGACCCGGUGACAUUUCAAGAUCCAGAGAAGAGGGUCCUGUACAGCCGUGUUUGAAAACAUUUCCCAGAACUCAGCAUGGUACGAGGAAAAGGGCUUUCAACAGCUCCUGGUAUAAGGACAAUUCAUGGCUUGAAUAUUCUAUAAGUCAAGAUUCAACUUAUUGUUUUGCCUGUGUUGGAGAAUUUCCAGUACUUUGAAGUUUAUCCAGUAUCUACUGUAUGCUGUUUUCUUCGAAGUAGUAAGCAAAAUCAAUAUAGGGUUAACCAUUAGACAUAUGGAAGCAUAAUGUAAACAGAAUCCAUGUGAUUCUGCAAAGCUGGAUCAACACAGGCCUGGUCAUUCUGGCUUGGACUUGUGAAGGCCUUUGGACAGGCACAUUAGUUAAUCACUUAUAGUCACCAUUAGACAUGCACUUGCAUUAGGGGUGUGCAUGUCUGUUUAUGUUUGUGUCAUUGCAAUGGGCACGCCACCAAUAGAAUCUAUGCCCUAAUGUCUGAGACAGUAAGAGAAUGGAAACUAAACAAGGCAAAAAGAUAAGGGUGGCCAAGGCUAAAGAGUACUCAUAAUUGACAUAAAGUGGAGUGACUAUGUUAUGUAAAGGUAAAACUGUAUAAAGGGAGAGUGCUGAGACUGAAAAUAUCACUUGUUCCAUGGAAUUGCUCGGCUUCUGUUACUUUUGUAAUAAAGUCUAAUUGAAUUUA